GAGGGGACGACCUCUCGCGACCGCAUCCCGCCGGGACGACCCGG
rnacentral:ncRNA from 1 species